UUUUUCUUCUAACUCUUUUCUAUUUUCGACUCUAUAUAAUUGUUUAUGGUUUAAACCCUAAGCUCUUUUUCGAAGAGGAGUGGCCACACACUAAAGGGCCAAACCCUUUGUCCGUACACUGAACAUGGCUGCUCCUCCUUCACCCUCUUCAUCUUUACAAUCUGAGGCUUAAUCUAUGCUUUCUGGGGAAGUUGUUGUGGUCCACUGUGUCAAUCAGGAGCCCCAGUAUCAAUGAAAGGUGGUUUUUGAAAGCAACAUUAGCUUCUUGUUGUUCAUCUAUUGGUUCAAAAUUCAGUUUAUCUCAAAUUUUGGGAUACAAAGCUAUGUCUCGUAAAGAACCAAAUAGCAGUUGCUUUCAGGAAAUCACAUAUAGGGGUUUAUAUAAGAUGAAGAUGAAACUCUAAUUAGAAGCUAUGCACUACACUAUUGAAGAACUACUAAGCAAUGACACUCCCUUAGAAGAUCUAUUGUUGAUGUCAAAUGGCCAAUGCACCCUUUUUUAGAGGGCUAUGAUCUCAGGUCUUCUUCAGUGUAACCUAUCUUUUACUCCAUGGCAGCUUCUACAAGUCUGCUUCACUUAGAAUCUAUGUUCUUGUAGCUGCUGAAGAGAGUUCCCCUUGGAAACUUCAAAAUCUGUCACUGUUUUAAUACUUUACCCAAAAGCUUUGUUUGUAGCAGUAAGUCUAUACUUUUUAUACUCUAUGGUUGUAAUGCUACCUUUCAACUUUUUUAUCUCCUUGUUGCUGUUUGGAGCAGCAGAUUGUAAUAAGUUCUGAUGGCGUGAGUUAUAUAGAAAGUGAGAGUUUGCUUGCCUAUGUAUAAGAAUACCAUAUAUGUUGAGUUGUAUGGUUUUUUACAAUUUCACUUCCUUA